rnacentral:ncRNA from 1 species
ACAACGAACUGUGAGAAGUCAGCAGAGGCCAUAGUACCAGAAAAAAAUCCUGGGAAGGG